rnacentral:tRNA from 1 species
UCCUCCGUGGCGCAAUCGGCUAGCGCGUCUGACUGUUAAUCAAUGCGAUUGGAAUCAGGAGGCUCACAGUUUGACUCUGUGCGGGGGGG